GGCUCGGUAGCUUUGUUGGUAAAGCACUCGUCUAUCGUACAAGAGUCGUGGGAUAGAAUCCGACCCGAGCAC
rnacentral:tRNA from 1 species